UUUGUAUUACCUCUAAUUUGUGCAAAUGUUGUGGAUGUUUUAAUUUAAGCUACGGCUGGAGUAUCAUACAUCAGUUCAAUCAUCAUUAUCAAGAGCUGUCGCUGAAGCAAUGGCGCAACAGUGCCUUCCACUUGACACUGUAUUGAAAAAAGCAGUGGUUUUGCAGGAUGAGCUCAACUUGAGUGAAUGUGGCUGGGCUACACUUGUCAUGGAAACAGAUCCAGAUGUUCUGAGCACACUGUUAUGGAUCUGGCUGGAAAAACUAAAGGUCAGUGGUCACUAUGGUAGUUAUGACACAAUAUGAUGCAAAUAAUAGAUUCUGCAAAACAAGACAUACACAUAAGAUGCUUAAGAACUGUUAAAAACUAUACUUUUAAGAAAGAUUUUUCUCAUUGCUUCGUAUGCAGUGUUUUAGCUGUUGCGCUUUAUCAUAACAGGAUCCUGUUCUCAAUAAAGAUGACAUAGAGAGGCUGACCUCAGCCUGGCCUGCGCAAAACCCCCUUAUUUCACUGCAAAAGGUGAAAGUCUGAACUCAUUGUGACAGAACACACUACAACACAUGGGUUGAUGUUGAACUGCAUUAUGUACAAUUUGUGAAUACAUUUUGUAAGCAUAAAACCCCUAGAAAUGGCAGUUUAACAAGUUUUAAAAUUGCUUACAUUUCUGUUACGCUUUUUUUGUGCAUCACACAUAUGACAUAUUUCACAGCUUAUACACUAAAAGAAAAUAGUAUUUUCCAUAUUCCAGUAUUUACAACUUGUACAACAAUGUACAGCUUCAUGUGGUUAUAAUUCUGUGUUGUUUUAGUGUCAGCGGCACACCAUCUGCUGUUUGCUGGACUGUGUGGGUCAUGUGGCGGUUCAAUGUCCUCAGUUUGAACAUGCUAUACUACAGAGGCUCAUUCGAGCUUUAACAAGAGUAAGUGUGUGUGUACAUGUGCUAAUGUUCCCAAAUAAAGAGAUAGUAAUCAAAUAAUAGAAGUAUUUUAAAGUCACUUUUGCAUGAUUUUGUAUUACAACAGCGUCAUCCAGAGGAAAUAGAGAGAAACAACAUCUUGUUACGGGUCCUCAGAGCUAUAAUGAGAGAGCAGUACCUACACAACCACUACCCAAGUACUACAACACCAUCAAAGUGCUAGGAGCAGUGGUUAAACUAAUGAAACCAAUAAAGAUAUCUAUAGAAAGAACCAUUGUUUGACGGUAUAGUCGAAUGACUGAUCGAGUUAUUGAUUUCUAUUUCAAUGUGCACAGUACUCCUCAUAACUAUUUAAAUACUUAUUAUAUCAUGUAUAAAAGUGUCUGAAUGUUUUUGCAUUAGUUAAGAAAAUAUCAAACCAAGGGGUGUCUGCAAAAUGAACUGUUCUAGCCAUUUUUGUCUUUUUUUUUAAAAGAGUAUUGCGGUAUCAAUUAAAACAUAUUUUUUUGUGAAAUGUUUAGCUUUAAAAUGUAUUUAUUUACAUUUUUUUCUUUGGAAGUGUCACAUCACAUAAUAUAUAGUAGGCUUACAUAAAAUAUUUUCAAAUUCAUCAUUGGUUUUCCAUACAUUUUUCCAAACAACAUUUUACAAAACUAAGACAAAAUACAAAAAUCAAAUGGG
ensembl:lncRNA